GGGAGCGGGAGCGGGCCCCAUGCCCGGGCGGGGGGCGUCGCGCCCGCUCCCCCUCGUGUGGGCCCCGCCGUGGGAGCCGCAGGCGGGGCGUUACGGGCCAGGCGGGCUGGCGUCGGGAGGUGACGGCGCGGAGGGCUCUUUUUCCGCUUGGGAGGUUGYGCGUGCGGGUCGAAGUCCUGCAUAUUGCGCUUGCACAAGUGACACCAGCCCUGUAGCGGUGGUGGGGGUUUGGGCCUCGAACAUACCCCUUUUGUGGGUCCUGCAGCCCCAUAUCUUGAUCCUGACAGACAUGUUGCAUCGUUCCACAACCCUUCCUGCAUGUGAAUCAGAUAUUGUGUGCAGACCUGGAUGGCAUGUAAAAUAG
rnacentral:lncRNA from 1 species